UUUUUUAGUGUGUGAUUGAAGUUAAGUGAGUGAGUGUGGAAUGUGAAAUCAAUCAUAUAUAUCAAUGUCACGGAAUAGUAAUAUGAUGAUGAUGAUAUUAUUUUAUCAUAGGUAGUAAUAAUGUAUUGAUUCGGGUAUGGAUACGGUUGAGGAAGUUGAGAUUCCAAUUCCAAUUCUAUCAUCGUCUUCAUCAUCAAUGGCGAAGAGACCCUGUCCAUCUCAAAACCCUAGAAUGGAAGUCGAGCAUCUCCUCGAUGAAUUCCUCUCCUUAUCUGACCUUCCUUCUCUCUCCCUCGAUCUCUACUUCGAGAAUCUUCUUCAAUCUAUGCCUACCGACUCCGAUCUCAUCGAUCGCGCUCUCAAAAUGGGUUCUCUCCUUCUCGAUGCGGCCAAACACUCUUCCCGCAAACGCGCUUCUAACCACAAUUCUCUCACCUGGCCUCUCCCUCCUGAUCUCACUUUCAAGGUCUUCUCGAUGCUCGAUACUCAGAGCCUGUGCUAUGCAUCAGCUACUUGUUCGUUUUUUAGCAAAUGUGCUAAAGAUCCUCUGUGCUAUGAGAAUCUUGAUUUGACAACACUUGUUCCCAAGGUUAACAAUGCAGUAGUUGCCACGAUGAUUCAGCGAGCUGGAAAGGCACUAAGGUCUCUUAAACUUGGUGUUGUCCCUGCUACUGCUUGUUCACCUGGAUUUUGUCAACCAUUGGUUUGUACUGUCAGAAAAGCUAUUGUAGAGGGGUCUAACUUGUCAUGGAAUGAUAAGAGGUCUCGUCAAGGGAGAGAGUCAUCCAUUCUUACAAGAUGCUGUUUAAGCCCUUUAAGUGGGGAUGGUGGUGCAUCAGGGGCGCUUUUGAGAAAGUUGCACCUGUACAAUAUUGAGAGAAUGGACAAUCCAUCCCUUGGUUGUGCAUUGUCAGCGUGCCCUUCUCUCCUUGAUCUGGAAAUUGUUGGAAUCCAUGUUGAACUGAGGCAAACACUAAUGUCAGUAAGUGCAAGCUGCCAUUUGAUUGAGCGUUUGUUUUUUGAGUCUUCUAGAACAGGUAGAGAUGACAGCUUGAAAGCUCAAACCUGUUCCGAGCUAGUAAACAAUUGCCCUCAUCUAACUUCUUUAUCUCUUCGAGGGUUUAAGCUACACGAUUGUAAAGUUCGAAUACUGGUUAAGGGAUUUCGGAAACUGAAAUUCGUUGACUUUUCAACAUCCUAUUCAAUCACAGGAAAUUUCUUAAGGAACCUUGGAGGCUGCAAUGGUGGGAAUUUGCUCGAGGUUUUAAUUUUAAGGGAUUGCAUGCAUCUCAAAGAGGUGGAAGUUGCUAGGUUGUUGACAGCAAUUGUUGCAGGAGAUUUCAAAUUGCUUAUACAUCUGGACAUAUCCAAUAGGGAAGGCUUAGCAUGUGAAGCUGACUGGUAUCAUAGGUGCUACAACUCUAGUAUUAUGCCUAUAAAGCAAGUUUUGGAAGCAAGGCCUGAUAUGCGUUUGGUGGCUGAAUAUCCAUCAGAAGGAAGCUACGUCGAGACAUUUGAUUCUGACAUGAAUAGUGAUAUAAGCCUGAUAUCACAAUUUAGCAGCCACACGUCAGAUGGAUCAAUUUUUAUGAGUACAUCUGAAAGCAGCUACAAUAGUGAUCAUGGUAGUGGCAAUGAGGAAGGACAAGAUGCUGUUAUUUAUGGGGAAAGCUCAGAUGAGGACUACAAUCUGAACCUGUAAUCAUUCCUCAAUGUAUGGCAUCAAUUGAAAAGGACAUCAACCUAGUGAAGUUGGGAAAUAAAGAUACGCCCGCAUCGCCAGGACCGACCGAUGUCAACUGUGGUUCUUGGAUUUUUCAACUUUGGUUUUGCCCUUCCCUCUGUUGAGUUCAUCAUUGUGAUGUUUCCAAUCGGAAGGAGGAUUGGAGGUUGGUGGUAAUUUUGUUAUUGGCCUUUGUUUCCAUAUUUGCAGAAUGUAAAUAUAUGGCCGCACCAUCCCCGGUCUACCCCAAAAAAGAGAUGGUUUUUCCCCAGCAUCAAUCCAUAUAACACGGGAUUUUUUGUUUUCUGUCACUCAUUGGCUCUAAUGUGGAAGAUAUAUUCAAUCAUGUAUUGAUGUGUCCCUUUAUUAUUACUAGCUGGCAAAUUUGCCAAAUAAAGUAUAAUAAACAAUUAUUUGUUUCCGUUAUUAUGACUGAGUAGUGACCGCGGCAUGACAUUUCAGAUAAACGAAAUGUAAACUAAUUUUUUUUCCAGGUAUUAUGGUGGUAAUGAAGUUUUGAUCAUGUGAUCUCAUAAA